AUUGAACGCUGGCGGCAUGCUUUACACAUGCAAGUCGAACGGCAGCGCGGGCUUCGGCCUGGCGGCGAGUGGCGAACGGGUGAGUAAUACAUCGGAACGUGCCCAGUAGUGGGGGAUAGCUCGGCGAAAGCCGGAUUAAUACCGCAUACGACCCGAGGGUGAAAGCGGGGGAUCUUCGGACCUCGCGCUAUUGGAGCGGCCGAUGGCAGAUUAGCUAGUUGGUGGGGUAAAGGCCUACCAAGGCGACGAUCUGUAGCUGGUCUGAGAGGACGACCAGCCACACUGGGACUGAGACACGGCCCAGACUCCUACGGGAGGCAGCAGUGGGGAAUUUUGGACAAUGGGCGAAAGCCUGAUCCAGCAAUGCCGCGUGUGUGAUGAAGGCCUUCGGGUUGUAAAGCACUUUUGGCGGGAACGAAAAGGACUGUGCCAAUACCACGGUUCGAUGACGGUACCCGCAGAAUAAGCACCGGCUAACUACGUG
rnacentral:rRNA from 1 species